CUUUUGGUAGCACUGGCCUUGAGCAGGUGAAAAACACUGAGUAAACUGUCUUGUUUUUCCAGACAUAGGUCGACAGAGCACCCUGAGACUUGUGGUGGGAAAAGGGUUUGCACGUAGGCACCCCGCUGCCCACAAACAGUCACAUUUGAACGUGUCUGUAAAGCUGUGUCCUUGAUGGUAAACUACUGCAGAACUGGCAGCUUCACGGUCCCUUCUGUCCUUGGAUGAAUGGCCCAGCAUUGCUGUUUUUGCUCUUGUGUCUACUCAGGAUCAUCUGUGACAAGAAUAGUCAACUAAGAAGAAACAGGAGGCAAUGGGAUACUCUGGGCCACAAGUAAAAACCACCUUCCACGAUUGCUGUGGAGGUGAUGCUGCCAACCUGAACGUGUCUAUCUGGCACCAGCUCCCUGAGCGAGUGGAAUUAAGAGAACCAGGAAGGAGACAUGGGAGGUGCCCGAGGCAGCUCCUGCAUCCGCAGGAGGAGCGGAGAAGGGAGCAAGGUGGCCUUGUGCACCUGACCCUGGUGGAGCAGCCACACACAAGCUGGAGCUGGAGAGUGGGAGUGGAGGACAGGGUGCUGUGAGUUCUAGAGACCAGAGACAGGGAUGGUAAUGUUAACUGUAACCCAGUAUGAGUGCCAUAGCGAUGAGUGAUGUAAAGGUGGGCAGUGCCAUUGUCAAUAUUCAUACAUUCUAUGUAUCAUGAACUAGCUGGUGACUUUCAAAUGAAAGAUGAC
rnacentral:lncRNA from 12 species